UACGGGGGGGCAAGCGUUGUUCGGAAUUACUGGGCGUAAAGGGCUCGUAGGCGGCCAACUAAGUCAGACGUGAAAUCCCUCGGCUUAACCGGGGAACUGCAUCUGAUACUGGAUGGCUUGAGUUCGGGAGAGGGAUGCGGAAUUCCAGGUGUAGCGGUGAAAUGCGUAGAUAUCUGGAGGAACACCGGUGGCGAAGGCGGCAUCCUGGACCGACACUGACGCUGAGGAGACGAAAGCCAGGGGAGCAAACGGG
rnacentral:rRNA from 1 species